UGGGGAAUAUUGGACAAUGGGCGAAAGCCUGAUCCAGCAAUACCGCGUGAAUGAUGAAGGCCUUAGGGUUGUAAAGUUCUUUUAGUUGGAAAGAUAAUGACGGUACCAACAGAAAAAGCCCCGGCUAACUCCGUGCCAGCAGCCGCGGUAAGACGGAGGGGGCUAGCGUUGUUCGGAAUUACUGGGCGUAAAGGGCGCGUAGGCGGAUUAGUAAGUUGGGAGUGAAAGCCCGGGGCUUAACCUCGGAACU
rnacentral:rRNA from 1 species